AGAUGUGAGGGUGAUCUGGCUUCGACAUCUGUCACCCCAUUGAUCGCCAGGGUUGAUUUGGCUGAUCUGGCUGGCUAUGUGGUGUCCUCCUCCUCCCUCACUGAUCCACGAGCAUCCCUCCCAAAGCUGUGUGCUCAGUGGAAGAGGAUGACCUUCCCCGCAGAGGAGAGGACCAGUUUUGGGUCAAGGGUAUAGAAGUAGCUGUGCUCCCCUGCUAGAACAAGCUCUAAAUAGAAAUAUGUUUAUUUAAUACCCCAAUUAAUCCAAGCAGGUAGAUUAUCAUCACUUUUUUUAGUUAUAUGAACCAAUUAA
rnacentral:snRNA from 1 species